AUUGAACGCUGGCGGCAGGCUUAACACAUGCAAGUCGAACGGUAACAGGAAUUAGCUUGCUUAAUUUGCUGACGAGUGGCGCACGGGUGCGUAACGCGUAUACAAUCUACCUUUUGCUGAGGGAUAGCCCAGAGAAAUUUGGAUUAAUACCUCAUGGUAUUAUUGAUAGGCAUCUAUUAAUAAUUAAAGGUUACGGCAAAAGAUGAGUAUGCGUCCCAUUAGCUAGUUGGUGAAGUAACGGUUCACCAAGGCAACGAUGGGUAGGGGUCCUGAGGGGAUAAUCAGCCACACUGGAACUGAGACACGGUCCAG
rnacentral:rRNA from 1 species